GUGUGUGUGAGUGUGUGUGUGAGUGUGAGUGUGUGAGUGUGUGUGCACUUUGCUGACUCCCAGGGAGGUCCGAUUGCACAGCCUGUCCCGGGCCAUCUAUUUAUAGCGGCUGCCAGCCCGAGCCGGGCCCGCCGGGAGACAAGUGAGGAGUCAAGCAGCAGGGAUAAAGUUCUCCUUGCCCCCAAAACCCCCAGUCUCAACAUCCUGCCGCCCUAAAUCCGGCAGAAACCUCUGUCCCAGGGGAGCUGCUAGAGAAGCAACUAAAAAUGGCCCGAAGAUCCUCAGAAACCCCUUUCCCUUCUCAAAGCAUCAGUCCCUGUCUGUCCCAGCCUUCCCUUUAUCCUACCUAAAAUAGGUAGGAUAGCCUGGUCGGAGACAGCAGGAGAAACACUAACUGUGUGAACUUAGGUAAGUGCUUUAAGUCCUUCGGGCCUCAGUUUCCUACUCUGUAAACAAAGAGUAGCUCUCCGACCUCUAAGAUCCCUUUCACUAGGGAAAGAUGAUUGAAUUGGCCAAAUUUGGGUCCUAGAAUUAAAAAAGGUGGAGGGGGGGGAUAGAAGUGAAAAGUUAAUAAGAGAUCAGUACCCUUGGACUCAAAAGUUAGGUGAGUGGGACUAAAAAAAAGCGAAAGGGGGGAGGGGUUUGUCCCUUUGGUUGCCAAGAUACCUUAAUCUGACCAAGAUUUUUUUUCACAGAUUCAGGGACAAAAUCUUUUUCACCUUUGAACGAAAGCAACCAACUGGGUGUUGCUGGUGGUCCUGGUGAUAAUGGGGGUGAUGGUGGCUCUCUCAGCUCCCUGACGCUCUAUGUUUCAGCAGCUUUCCGCACUACAGAUCCCAAGGUGCCCAUCCUGUGGGACACUUGGCCAACGCUUCCACAAGGCACACUCUCAGCAUCCUCACUUUCCCUGACAAAACAGUAGAACACGAGGCUGUGGACGGUGACUAUCCCCCUUUUCUGUCACAUUUCUUUGAGGACCUUGUCUACUUUGGUAGCACCUUGUGAUGUGCUGCAGCUUGUUCACACCCCCCAUCUCUCUCUCUCCAUUGCCCUCUGAGUGAUACUCAUUUUUAAAUCUCUAGACUAGUACCAUGUUCCAAACUCAUGGGCACCCAAUGGGACAGGUAGAAUAUCAGUAUUUUAAAAAGACCUUUGUUUCUAGAAGUUUCGUGUCAUUACAGGGGCUUUGCAAUUUUCAGAAGGUAAUCUAGCCCACUCUUUUUCCUCCUGUUUAAAAAUUUAAACUUAACUCAUUGUCCAUUUUCUGACCAGGUGCCCUAAUCAAGAUAAUGGGCAUUCUCUAUUUCCUUGGUGGAUAAAUAGUUCAAACUCUUUAGAGUGGCUAAGGAUCUUAUCCAGGAGGUUACAAUAUUCUGUGAAAAGACUCCACAACAAUUAAACUUGAUGUAGAAUUGCAGUUGAUUAAUAGACAAACUUAAUUGUAACUUAAAGUUACUUUGAAAAGCAUGGGUAUGGAACAUAUUUUUUAAAAAGUAUGAGGAUGGCUGGCUCCUUUAAGAAACUUAUAGGUUUUGAACUGGAAGUUAGGGAUAGGUCAAAUGCAUAUGAAUAUAUCAGCCAACAGGUAAGUUAAGUAUAAGAGCUAUGGAAAUUCAAGGUACGGUCAGCAAGAAAGCUUCAAAUCAAAAAUAAGUUUUGAACUGGGCCAGGAAGGAAAAGUAGGAUGUUCUAAAGGGACAUAACGACCAAAAAGACAGAAUUGGGAGAGCAAAGGAUUAUUGAAGGGAUGUUGAGUUAAUUCAUUAUGUUGAGAAUUUAGGGUUUCCUAUUGAAGGAGAGAAAGAAGCACAGACAUGCAGGACAGCUUUGAAAGCUACAGGUAGAAUCAUUCUUCAAACCAAAGCCAGUCAUAGAUAAGAGAUCUGCAGCAUUGUGUAGAAUUUGUUUCUUUUCUAUAUGGAAAUGCCUAUUUGGUGCUAAAGUUGAGAAUUAAAAUAACUUUUAAAAAGAUAAACAGAACAUACACCUGUUUUUCUAAUUUGAUGUUUGAUUCAUCACAGGUAUGUUUUCCAUUACAGUUCUAUAAUACCUCAUUAUGAUGUAAUUCUGGAUUCUCAAAUGCUGUACUAACCGAGCACAAGUUUGGAGGAAAGACUUCAGGAGUCUUAAAAGAUUGAAGGGAAAAUGGAUGCAGAUUUACUCAUCACUGGGACUUGGAGAUUUAAAAAUGCUAAUUAGAGUAAAAGUUUGCUGUAUUUUAA